GCUCUGCUGGGCCGUAACUGACACUGAGGGACGAAAGCUAGGGGAGCGAAUGGGAUUAGAUACCCCAGUAGUCCUAGCCGUAAACGAUGGAAACUAGGUGUAGCCUGUAUCGACCCGGGCUGUGCCGAAGCUAACGCGUUAAGUUUCCCGCCUGGGGAGUACGCACGCAAGUGUGAAACUCAAAGGAAUUGACGGGGGCCCGCACAAGCGGUGGAGUAUGUGGUUUAAUUCGAUGCAACGCGAAGAACCUUACCAGGGCUUGACAUGUCCGGAAUCUUGGUGAAAGCCGAGAGUGCCUUCGGGAGCCGGAAUACAGGUGGUGCAUGGCUGUCGUCAGCUCGUGUCGUGAGAUGUUGGGUUAAGUCCCGCAACGAGCGCAACCCUCGUCCUUAGUUGCCAUCAUUCAGUUGGGCACUUUAGGGAGACUGCCGGUGACAAACCGGAGGAAGGUGGGGAUGACGUCAAGUCAUCAUGCCCCUUACGUCCUGGGCUACACACGUACUACAAUGGGGGGGACAAAGGGUAGCCAAGACGCGAGUCUGAGCCAAUCCCGUAAACCUCUCCUCAGUUCAGAUUGCAGGCUGCAACUCGCCUGCAUGAAGGAGGAAUCGCUAGUAAUCGCAGGUCAGCAUACUGCGGUGAAUCCGUUCCCGGGCCUUGUACACACCGCCCGUCACACCAUGGAAGUUAGCCACGCCCGAAGUCGUUACUCUAACCGUUCGCGGAGGAGGAUGCCGAAGGCAGGGCUGAUGACUGGGGUG
rnacentral:rRNA from 1 species